GACGAACGCUGGCGGCGUGCCUAAUACAUGCAAGUCGAACGCAGUGGGGACGGGGGAGUAACACGUGGGUAAUCUCCCAUCAGAGGGGAUAAAACUUGGACACAGGUGCUAACCCGUAACUGAUGGAUGGACCCGCGGUGCAUUAGCUAGUUGGUGGGGUAACGGCUCACCAAGGCCACGAGGCAUAGCCGACCUGAGAGGGUGACCGGCCACACGGGAACUGAGCAACGGCCCAGACUCCAAGGGGAGGAGGCAUGAGGGAACCUCCGGCAAUGGAGGAAAGUUUGACCGAGAAAGGCCGCGUGAUGGUAGAAGGUUUCCGGUUCGUAAAACUCGGUAAUUGGGGAAGCGGUAUCGAACCAGAAAGCCACGGCUAACUACGUGCCAGCAGCCGCGGUAAUAC
rnacentral:rRNA from 1 species